GUCGUGCAGGAUGUUGAUGGUGAGGAUACUGGAAAUGAUUGGUCUCCUCCACCUCUCCCACAAGAGCAUGUUCAACAACUGAAAACACUAGGACUUCUGUAAAACUUCAACCUAUAGUUGACGGAAACUAGGGAUGGAUUGAAAUUCCACCUCUUUGGGGGCCUCCGUUAUGGUCCUCGAGUUUAUGCAUCUAGAUAAUGACAUAAUUUUUCUUAUUCAUCGAUAGAAGAUCUUGUGAGUCUGAUAUCGUUCAUAGUUUAUGAAA
rnacentral:misc_RNA from 1 species